rnacentral:rRNA from 1 species
CUCAGAACUUAAAGGAAUUGACGGGGCCCGGCACAAGCGGUGGAGUAUGUGGUUUAAUUCGAUGCAACGCGAAGAACUUACCUGGUCUUGACAUCCCGGAGACCCUUAGGAAACUAGGGGUGCUUCCAUCUGGAAGAAUCUGGAGACAGGUGCUGCAUGGCUGUCGUCAGCUCGUGUCGUGAGAUGUUGGGUUAAGUCCCGCAACGAGCGCAACCCUUGCCUUUAGUUGCCAGCAGUUCGGCUGGGCACUCUAAAGGGACUGCCGGUGUUAAACCGGAGGAAGGUGGGGAUGACGUCAAGUCCUCAUGGCCUUUAUGACCAGGGCUACACACGUACUACAAUGGCCGAUACAAAGGGCAGCGACACUGCGAGGUGAAGCCAAUCCCGUAAAAUCGGUCUCAGUCCGGAUUGGAGUCUGCAACUCGACUCCAUGAAGUUGGAAUCGCUAGUAAUCGUGGAUCAGCAUGCCACGGUGAAUACGUUCCCGGGCCUU